CUGCCUGCUAGACAGGUACACAUUACAAUCAUACCAUAAAACAAAUAUAGUAGACCUAUUGCAUAUAGUAUGAGAAAAACAGACCCAAACACAAAAAUUUUACUAUAACCACUGAACCAUGAAAAUGAGGUCAAGGUCAGAUGACACCUGCCAGUUGGACAUGUACACCUUACAGUCCUUCCAUACACCAAAUAUACUAGCCCUAUUGCUUAUAGUAUCUGAGAUAUGGAC
rnacentral:lncRNA from 1 species